UCAUAUGCUUGUCUCAAAGAUUAAGCCAUGCAUGUCUAAGUACGUGCCUAAGAAAGGUGAAACCGCGAAUGGCUCAUUAAAUCAGUUAUGGUUCCUUAGAUCGUACCUUACUACUUGGAUAACUGUGGUAAUUCUAGAGCUAAUACAUGCAGCAGAGCUCCGACCUUCGGGGACGAGCGCUUUUAUUAGACCAAGACCAAUCGGACCUCGGUCCGAAGCUCAUGGUGACUCUGGAUAACUUUGGGCUGAUCGCACGGUCUCGUACCGGCGACGCAUCUUUCAAGUGUCUGCCUUAUCAACUUUCGAUGGUAGGUUAUGCGCCUACCAUGGUCGUAACGGGUAACGGGGAAUCAGGGUUCGAUUCCGGAGAGGGAGCCUGAGAAACGGCUACCACAUCCAAGGAAGGCAGCAGGCGCGCAAAUUACCCACUCCCGGCACGGGGAGGUAGUGACGAAAAAUAACAAUACGGGACUCUAUUGAGGCCCCGUAAUUGGAAUGAGUACACUCUAAAUCCUUUAACGAGGAUCUAUUGGAGGGCAAGUCUGGUGCCAGCAGCCGCGGUAAUUCCAGCUCCAAUAGCGUAUAUUAAAGUUGUUGCGGUUAAAAAGCUCGUAGUUGGAUCUCAGUUCCAGACGGGUGGUCCACCCCUGGUGGUUACUGCCUGGCCUGAACAAAUCCAGCCGGUUUUCCUUGAUGCUCUUCACCGAGUGUCUUGGGUGACCGGCACGUUUACUUUGAAAAAAUUAGAGUGCUCAAAGCAGGCGUGACGCCUGAAUAAUGGUGCAUGGAAUAAUGGAAUAGGACCUCGGUUCUAUUUUGUUGGUUUUCGGAACACGAGGUAAUGAUUAAGAGGGACAGACGGGGGCAUUCGUAUUGCGACGCUAGAGGUGAAAUUCUUGGACCGUCGCAAGACGAACUACU
rnacentral:rRNA from 1 species